AACGUAGGAGACAAACGUUAUCCGGAGUUACUGGGCGUAAAGGGCGUGUAGGCGGUCUGUUAAGUCUGGCGUGAAAGCUCUCGGCUAAACCGGGAGAGGUCGUUGGAUACUGGCAGGCUAGAGGACGGUAGAGGCGUGUGGAAUUCCGGGUGUAGUGGUGAAAUGCGUAGAGAUCCGGAGGAACACCAGUGGCGAAGGCGACACGCUGGGCCGUACCUGACGCUAAAGCGCGACAGCAUGGGGAGCAAACGGG
rnacentral:rRNA from 1 species